ACGGGCGAAGAUAAGACGGAUUAGCGGCGGACGGGUGAGUAACACGUGAGUAACCUGCCUUUACACAGGGAUAGCCUCGGGAAACCGGGAUUAAAACCUGAUGAAACUAUCAAAUCACAUGAUUAAGAAAGUUAAAAACUCCGGUGGUAAAAGAUGGACUCGCGUCCCAUUAGCUAGUUGGUGAAGGUAACGGCCCACCAAGGCAACGAUGGGUAGCCGGCCUGAGAGGGUGAACGGCCACAUUGGAACUGAGAAACGGUCCAAACUCCUACGGGAGGCAGCAGGU
rnacentral:rRNA from 1 species